AGAGUUUGAUCCUGGCUCAGAACGAACGCUGGCGGCAGGCUUAACACAUGCAAGUCGAACGCUGAGCAGCAAUGCUCGGAGUGGCGGACGGGUGAGUAACGCGUGGAAAUCUACCUGGUAGUGGGGGAUAGCUUCUGGAAACGGAAGGUAAAACCGCAUAAGCCCUGAGGGGGAAAUAUUUAUAGCUAUCAGAUGAGUCUGCGUCCGAUUAGGUAGUUGGUGAGGUAAGGGCUCACCAAGCCGAUGAUCGGUAGCUGGUCUGAGAGGAUGAUCAGCCACAUUGGGACUGAGGCACGGCCCAAACUCCUACGGGAGGCAGCAGUGGGGAAUAUUGGACAAUGGGGGGAACCCUGAUCCAGCCAUGCCGCGUGAAUGAGAAGGCCUUAGGGUUGUAAAGUUCUUUUAUAAGGGAAGAUGAUGACGGUACCUUAUGAAUAAGCACCGGCAAACUUCGUGCCAGCAGCCGCGGUAAUACGAAGGGUGCAAGCGUUGUUCGGAUUUACUGGGCGUAAAGCGCACGCAGGCGGUUAUAUAAGUCAGCGGUGAAAUUCCGGAGCUCAACUCCGGCAUUGCCAUUGAUACUGUAUAGCUAGAGUGUAUGAGAGGAUGAUGGAAUAUCCAGUGUAGAGGUGAAAUUCGUAGAUAUUGGAUAGAACACCAGUGGCGAAGGCGAUCAUCUGGCGUACAACUGACGCUAAUGUGCGAAAGCGUGGGUAGCAAACAGGAUUAGAUACCCUGGUAGUCCACGCUGUAAACGAUGAGUGCUAGAUAUACGGUCUGUAAAGGACUUUGUGUCGGAGCUAACGCGUUAAGCACUCCGCCUGGGGAGUACGGUCGCAAGAUUAAAACUCAAAGGAAUUGACGGGGGCCCGCACAAGCGGUGGAGCAUGUGGUUUAAUUCGACGCAACGCGAAGAACCUUACCAGCUUUUGACAUGGACAUUGGGGUUAGCGGAGACGCUGACUUUCAUUUAGUUGGGUGUCACACAGGUGCUGCAUGGCUGUCGUCAGCUCGUGUCGUGAGAUGUUGGGUUAAGUCCCGCGACGAGCGCAACCCUCGCCUUUAGUUGCCAUCAUCAAGUUGGGCACUCUAAAGGAACCGCCUAUGAUAAGUAGGAGGAAGGUGGGGAUGACGUCAAGUCCUCAUGGCCCUUACGGGCUGGGCUACACACGUGCUACAAUGGUUAUUACAGAGGGAAGCGAACCCGAGAGGGGGAGCAAAUCCUAUAAAAAUAAUCUCAGUUCGGAUUGAGCUCUGCAACUCGAGCUCAUGAAGUUGGAAUCGCUAGUAAUCGUGGAUCAGCAUGCCACGGUGAAUACGUUCCCGGGCCUUGUACACACCGCCCGUCACACCAUGGGAGUUGGCUUUACCUGAAGACGUUAGGAUAACCGCAAGGGGUCUGGCGGCCACGGUAGGGUCAGUGACUGGGGUGAAGUCGUAACAAGGUAACC
rnacentral:rRNA from 1 species